rnacentral:lncRNA from 1 species
AUGCAACAACCUGCUUUUGAAUUAACAAUGUAUUAUUUCUGUUUCCUUUCCAUGAACAUAUCACAUACAUAUUUUAACAAAAUCCGAGCUCACGGUCUGUCAGGAGGCGCUGCAGUUCUGAAGGGGGAAGGGGCGGAGAUCCGGGCUCUCGCCCCCUCCCUUCCUAACCCUCCCUCCCUCUGGGCCUCACCGCCCCUGGUCCUGGCCCCCUCUAUCCCAGCCCCCCUUCUUCCGGACUACUCUUUUCCGGCCUCGCCCCACCCCCUGCCCUGGGCUCCUCCCCUUCCCAGCCCCCUCCUCACGGCCCCUCUCCUCGUCUCCCCGGGCCCCCUUCCCGGAGCCCCCUCCACACCUACUCCCAGUUCCCCGGCUCCUCCUCCGGGCCCUUUCUCCUUCUCAGGGCCCCUCCCCCGAGCCCCUCCCCCUUCCCAGCCCCCUCCUCGCCUAGACUCUCCCAUUCUAGUCCCCCGCCUCUCCCUGGCCCCUCCCCCUCCCCGGAACCCCAGCCCCCCCCUCUCGCACCCCUUCCCCUCUUCUCCGCGGCCCCUCCCCUCCCCGGGACCCCAGCCCCCUCUCUCGCACCCCUUCCCCCUCUUCUCCGCGGCCCCUCCCCCUCCCCGGGACCCCAGCCUCCUCCUCGUACCCCUCCCUCUCCUCUCCGCGGCCCCUCCCCCUCCCGGGGACCCCGGCCCCUCCUCGUACCCCUCCCCGGGCCCCCGGCGCCCCUGUCUCGCCCCUCCCCCUCCCCGGGCCCCCGGCGCCCCUCUCUCGGCCCGGGAGGCACGGCAGGGGGCGCUGCGCGGGCCGAGGCGCGGCUGCGGGCGGCGGCGGCGGCGGCGCGAGGAGGAGGCCGGAGGAGGCGGGGGCGGCGGCAGGCGGGGGGCGGGGAGCCGCGCGCGCGAGGGAGGCGAGCGGCGAGACACAGGCUCCGAGGCUCCAGCGAGCGAGCGACGAGCGAGCCCAGGAGGGAGAGAGGGAGGGAGGGAGCGAGCGAGCGAGCACCGCGCCGCCGCCGCGCAAUCCGCCGCCAUCCCGCCGCUUCCGCGCCCGACCGCCGCCCGACCGCCAUCGCCCGGCCCAGUCGCGCCCGCGGAACCAGACCAGGUGGGCCGGGGCGCGGGGCGGCGCGGGGCCGGGCGCGGGGCGGCGCGGCGCUAA